UAAGAAAUUGUCAAAGACCAACGAUCAGCGAGAGAAGCUCCAUAGACGCCGUCUCAGGAGAUGUGGCGAACUUUUAAGGUGGAGACGAAGCGGGUCCCCUAUCAUUCUCCUUUGAUUUUCACAUUUUCCUCUUUUCAAGCCAAGAUCUGUUGUCGUCAUCAACGAAUACGAAGAUUCAAACUGGAACCGUCUUCAAAUUCCUUUUCCUCUUCCAUAAUCCUUCACAUUUUCCCAUUUUCUGUCUCUGAUGCUGUUCGAAGCUACUGGUGAUGCAACGACCCUCUCUUACUGGUUAAACUGGAGGGUAUUACUCUGUGCAAUUUGGGUAUUAGCUUCUUUUACCUUUGCACUAUGGAUGAUAUGGAAAUAUGAAGUUAAGGAUAGAUUAGGACACAGCAGACAAGAAACUCAGCAAGAUAAAAACAAACUUCGGAGUUGUGAAGUUUGGACACCAUGUCUCAAACAAAUUCAUCCAAUUUGGUUAUUGGCUUUUCGAGUUUGUGCGUUCGGUCUGAUGCUGGCUUCACUAAUUGUGAAGGCUUUGGUUAACGGGACUUCCAUGUUUUAUUAUUAUACCCAGUGGACAUUUACUUUACUUACAAUAUAUUUUCUGUGUGGGUCAGUGAUUUCCAUAUAUGGAGUUUUUCUCUGUAACAGGAAAAGGACCGAAGAAGCUGAGAAUGGGAUGGAAGAAGGGCAACAUGUUCCACUUCUUUCUGGGAAGCCAUCAAAUUUAAUUGGGGGAAAUAUCGUUUCGUAUUCCAAGGAAAAAAGCUUUUCUUUGACGGCUGUCAACAUCUGGAGUUAUAUUCUUGAAGUUUUAUUCCAGAUUAAUGCAGGGGCAGUUGUACUCACUGAUUGCACUUAUUGGUUUGUCAUAUUUCCAUUUCUUACCAUCAAAGACUACAAUUUGAGCUUUAUGACGAUCAAUAUGCACACGCUGAAUUUGGUUUUACUUCUCGGUGAAACUGCUCUUAAUUGCUUGACGCUUCCAAGGUGCCGAAUUUCAUUCUUCUUUUUAUGGACGGGUAUUUAUGUCAUUUCCCAGUGGAUCGUCCAUGCAUUUGUUUCGAUUGGGUGGCCAUAUCCAUUUCUUGAUCUGUCAGCUCCUUAUUCUCCAUUAUGGUAUCUACUGAUGGGAUUGAUUCAUAUUCCAAGCUAUGGUAUUUUCAUGUUGAUCAUAAAACUGAAACAUAAACUGAUGACGAAGUGGUUCCCUCAGUCAUACCAGUGCUAGCAAGACUGACAAAUGUUGAAUCAUGAUUGGAUUCGCUUUGUUUGAAGUUGUGAAACCAAGCUUACGUUUUUGAUUGGAUCCGCUUUGUCUGAAGUUGUGAAAUCAAGCUUGCAUUUUGGGUAUGGUGGGGCUACUUUCUUAGCUUACUAUUUUGGUAAACUCGUGAGCUACAUAAAUUUAGGUUAAUGGAAUAUUUGUAUGUUGGGCUAGCUUGAACCUAGCUCAAGUGGUUUAGACACGUACUCUCUGACAACGAUUAAAGAUUAGAAUCCCUUCAAUUUUAAAUGAUGUUAAAAAUACACACACACGAGCAUGUGUAUGAUGCUCUACGUUUUUACAUUAGAUAUAUUGAUGUUUUUGUAGUUUUAGGUCUACCAAAUUUAAGUUUAUUUAAGGUUAAAAUA